rnacentral:rRNA from 1 species
UCUACGGGAGGCAGCAGUGGGGAAUAUUGCGCAAUGGGCGAAAGCCUGACGCAGCGACGCCGCGUGAGGGAUGAAGGCCUUCGGGUUGUAAACCUCUUUCAGCAGGGAAGAAGCGAAAGUGACGGUACCUGCAGAAGAAGCACCGGCUAACUACGUGCCAGCAGCCGCGGUAAUACGUAGGGUGCAAGCGUUGUCCGGAAUUAUUGGGCGUAAAGAGCUCGUAGGCGGUCUGUCGCGUCGGAUGUGAAAAUCCAUGGCUCAACCGUGGACCUGCAUUCGAUACGGGCAGACUAGAGUUCGGUAGGGGAGACUGGAAUUCCUGGUGUAGCGGUGAAAUGCGCAGAUAUCAGGAGGAACACCGGUGGCGAAGGCGGGUCUCUGGGCCGAAACUGACGCUGAGGAGCGAAAGCGUGGGGAGCGAACAGGAUUAGAUACCCUGGUAGUCCACGCCGUAAACGUUGGGCGCUAGGUGUGGGGAACCUUCCACGUUCUCCGUGCCGCAGCUAACGCAUUAAGCGCCCCGCCUGGGGAGUACGGCCGCAAGGCUAAAACUCAAAUGAAUUGACGGAAUCGAAUUC